rnacentral:rRNA from 1 species
CCUACGGGAGGCAGCAGUGGGGAAUAUUGCACAAUGGGGGAAACCUGAUGCAGCGACGCCGCGUGGGUGAAGGAGUAUUUCGGUAUGGAAAGCCCUAUCAGCAGGGAAGAACAAUGACGGUACCUGACUAAGAAGCACCGGCUAAAUACGUGCCAGCAGCCGCGGUAAUACGUAUGGUGCAAGCGGUAUCCGGAUUUACUGGGUGGAAAGGGAGGGCAGGCGGCGCGUUAAGCCUGGUGUGAAAGUCCGCGGCCCAACCGCGGGACUGAAUUGGGAACUGGCGCGCUGGAGUGCCGGAGGGGUAGGCGGAAUUCCUAGUGUAGCGGUGAAAUGCGUAGAUAUUAGGAGGAACACCAGUGGCGAAGGCGGCCUACUGGACGGUGACUGACGCUGAGGCUCGAAAGCGUGGGGAGCAAACAGGAUUAGAUACCCUAGUAGUC